rnacentral:rRNA from 1 species
AUGAACGCUAGCUACAGGCUUAACACAUGCAAGUCGAGGGGCAUCAGGAAGAAAGCUUGCUUUCUUUGCUGGCGACCGGCGCACGGGUGAGUAACACGUAUCCAACCUGCCCUUUACUCGGGGAUAGCCUUUCGAAAGAAAGAUUAAUACCCGAUAGCAUAAUGAUUCCGCAUGGUUUCAUUAUUAAAGGAUUCCGGUAAAGGAUGGGGAUGCGUUCCAUUAGGUUGUUGGUGAGGUAACGGCUCACCAAGCCUUCGAUGGAUAGGGGUUCUGAGAGGAAGGUCCCCCACAUUGGAACUGAGACACGGUCCAAACUCCUACGGGAAGCAGCAGUGAGGAAUAUUGGUCAAUGGGCGGUAGCCUGAACCAGCCAAGUAGCGUGAAGGAUGAAGGCUCUAUGGGUCGUAAACUUCUUUUAUAUAAGAAUAAAGUGCAGUAUGUAUACUGUUUUGUAUGUAUUAUAUGAAUAAGGAUCGGCUAACUCCGUGCCAGCAGCCGCGGUAAUACGGAGGAUCCGAGCGUUAUCCGGAUUUAUUGGGUUUAAAGGGAGCGUAGGUGGACUGGUAAGUCAGUUGUGAAAGUUUGCGGCUCAACCGUAAAAUUGCAGUUGAUACUGUCAGUCUUGAGUACAGUAGAGGUGGGCGGAAUUCGUGGUGUAGCGGUGAAAUGCUUAGAUAUCACGAAGAACUCCGAUUGCGAAGGCAGCUCACUGGACUGCAACUGACACUGAUGCUCGAAAGUGUGGGUAUCAAACAGGAUUAGAUACCCUGGUAGUCCACACAGUAAACGAUGAAUACUCGCUGUUUGCGAUAUACAGUAAGCGGCCAAGCGAAAGCAUUAAGUAUUCCACCUGGGGAGUACGCCGGCAACGGUGAAACUCAAAGGAAUUGACGGGGGCCCGCACAAGCGGAGGAACAUGUGGUUUAAUUCGAUGAUACGCGAGGAACCUUACCCGGGCUUAAAUUGCAGUGGAAUGAUGUGGAAACAUGUCAGUGAGCAAUCACCGCUGUGAAGGUGCUGCAUGGUUGUCGUCAGCUCGUGCCGUGAGGUGUCGGCUUAAGUGCCAUAACGAGCGCAACCCUUAUCUUCAGUUACUAACAGGUCAUGCUGAGGACUCUGGAGAGACUGCCGUCGUAAGAUGUGAGGAAGGUGGGGAUGACGUCAAAUCAGCACGGCCCUUACGUCCGGGGCUACACACGUGUUACAAUGGGGGGUACAGAAGGCAGCUAGCGGGUGACCGUAUGCUAAUCCCAAAAUCCUCUCUCAGUUCGGAUCGAAGUCUGCAACCCGACUUCGUGAAGCUGGAUUCGCUAGUAAUCGCGCAUCAGCCACGGCGCGGUGAAUACGUUCCCGGGCCUUGUACACACCGCCCGUCAAGCCAUGGGAGCCGGGGGUACCUGAAGUACGUAACCGCAAGGAUCGUCCUAGGGUAAAACUGGUGACUGGGGCU